rnacentral:rRNA from 1 species
GACGAACGCUGGCGGCGUGCCUAAUACAUGCAAGUAGAACGCUGAAGGAGGAGCUUGCUUCUCUGGAUGAGUUGCGAACGGGUGAGUAACGCGUAGGUAACCUGCCUGGUAGCGGGGGAUAACUAUUGGAAACGAUAGCUAAUACCGCAUAAUAGCAGUUAUUGCAUGAUAACUGUUUGAAAGGUGCAAUUGCAUCACUACCAGAUGGACCUGCGUUGUAUUAGCUAGUUGGUGAGGUAACGGCUCACCAAGGCGACGAUACAUAGCCGACCUGAGAGGGUGAUCGGCCACACUGGGACUGAGACACGGCCCAGACUCCUACGGGAGGCAGCAGUAGGGAAUCUUCGGCAAUGGACGGAAGUCUGACCGAGCAACGCCGCGUGAGUGAAGAAGGUUUUCGGAUCGUAAAGCUCUGUUGUAAGAGAAGAACGAGUGUGAGAGUGGAAAGUUCACACUGGACGUAUCUACCAGAAAGGACG